rnacentral:rRNA from 1 species
UACGUAGGGGGCAAGCGUUGUCCGGAUUUAUUGGGCGUAAAGAGCUCGUAGGCGGCCGUCCACGUCGGGUGUGAAAGCUCGGGGCUCAACCCCGGGACGCCAUUCGAUACGGGGCGGCUAGAGGCAGGUAGGGGAGAUUGGAAUUCCUGGUGGAGCGGUGAAAUGCGUAGAUAUCGCUUGGAACGCCAACGGUGAAAACAGGUUGCUGGGGGUGUGCUGACGCUGAGACACGAAAGCCAGGGGAGCGAACGGG